AGUGAACGCUGGCGGUAGGCCUAACACAUGCAAGUCGAACGGCAGCACAGUAAGAGCUUGCUCUUACGGGUGGCGAGUGGCGGACGGGUGAGGAAUACAUCGGAAUCUACUUUUUCGUGGGGGAUAACGUAGGGAAACUUACGCUAAUACCGCAUACGACCUACGGGUGAAAGCAGGGGAUCUUCGGACCUUGCGCGAUUGAAUGAGCCGGUGUCGGAUUAGCUAGUUGGCGGGGUAAAGGCCCACCAAGGCGACGAUCCGUAGCUGGUCUGAGAGGAUGAUCAGCCACACUGGAACUGAGACACGGUCCAGACUCCUACGGGAGGCAGCAGUGGGGAAUAUUGGACAAUGGGCGCAAGCCUGAUCCAGCCAUACCGCGUGGGUGAAGAAGGCCUUCGGGUUGUAAAGCCCUUUUGUCGGGAAAGAAAAGCAGCAGGUUAAUACCCCGCUGUUCUGACGGUACCCAAAGAAUAAGCACCGGCUAACUUCGUG
rnacentral:rRNA from 1 species